CCAAUAGCGUAUAUUAAAGUUGCUGCAGUUAAAAAGCUCGUAGUUGAAUUUCGGGACCAUCACGUCGGUCGUGCCUCGGUACGUACUGGCGUCGUUGGUUUCUCCCUUCUGAAGAACCAUGAUGUCAUUUAUUUGGUGUCGUGGGGAAUCAGGACUGUUACUUUGAAAAAAUUAGAGUGUUUAAAGCAGGCUCACGCUUGAAUACAUUAGCAUGGAAUAAUGAAAUAGGACGUUUGAUUCUAUUUUGUUGGUUUCUAGGAUCGACGUAAUGAUUAAUAGGGAUAGUUGGGGGCAUUAGUAUUCAAUUGUCAGAGGUGAAAUUCUUGGAUUUAUUGAAGACUAACUACUGCGAAAGCAUUUGCCAAGGAUGUUUUCAUUAAUCAAGAACGAAAGUUAGGGGAUCGAAGACGAUCAGAUACCGUCGUAGUCUUAACCAUAAACUAUGCCGACUAGGGAUCGGAUGAUGUUAAUUUUUUAAUGACUCAUUCGGCGCCUCACG
rnacentral:rRNA from 1 species